UCCGCCAGCGACACAGAGGUGCGACGGUCACUUAACGUGUGCGGCCCAGGCCCUGUGCGCCUCGGUUCCCCUGGAGCUGGGCCUCGACCAUUUGCUGCAUGAAUGGGCCUGAAGUGCGUUUACGCACUUAAGCCCCGGUAGGUCCCUCACGCCUGGGCAUGUGGACUCCCGGCGUUGGAGCCUUGAAGUCAGAAGUCCUUAGGAACCUUUGCAUUCUGGCUCCAGCUUACCACAUCAAUCCAGUGAGCUUUGAGAUACAACUUCCUUUCCAGGAAAUACAAGGUCUAGAGGAACAACUCAAUGAUCGCUUGACGAAGCAACCACUCAGAUCCAGAAGAGAGUGAUCUUACUGGAUCAGUGUUUUUGAAGGAUACUACUGGGAGCAACCACAGACAAUGUAUUGGAAUGGGGAGAGAGAGAAAAAUAGGCAUGUCAAGGAGGAGAGAUGCAUGCAUUCCAGAAGAGGACAGAGGCACCUAGAUACCUGGGUUUGCAUCAAGUUCCACAGUUUUAUCUGUAAACCUAAGCAUUUUUAAAAUAUUUAAUCAUUCAUGAGUUGAGCUUCAUUCUUGAGUCAUGGAUGACAAGGCUUCUGUUGGAAAAAUCAGUGUCUCCUCAGACUCAGUAUCUACUCUUAAUAGUGAAGAUUUUGUCUUGGUUUCCAGGCAAGGAGAUGAGACACCAUCUACAAAUAAUGGAAGUGAUGACGAGAAAACAGGACUCAAGAUUAUAGGCAAUGGAAGUGAGCAGCAGCUGCAAAAAGAGCUAGCAGAUGUGCUGAUGGAUCCUCCAGUGGACGACCAGCCAGGGGAUAAGGAGCUUGUGGAAAGGUCACAACUGGAUGGCGAAGGAGAUGGACUUCUUUCUAAUCAACUUACAGCUUCAUCUACCAUUAACCCUGUGCCAUUAGUAGGGCUCCAAAAACCAGAGAUGAGCCUGCCAGUGAAACCUGGACAAGGAGAUUCUGAAGGGUCAAGUCCCUUCACACCAGUGGCUGAUGAGGACAGUGUUGUUUUCAGCAAACUAACUUACUUAGGCUGUGCCUCAGUAAAUGCUCCUAGGAGUGAAGUGGAAGCCUUAAGGAUGAUGUCCAUCCUAAGAAGCCAGUGUCAGAUUUCAUUAGAUGUGACCCUCUCAGUGCCGAAUGUAUCUGAAGGAACUGUGAGACUCUUAGAUCCUCAGACAAAUACUGAGAUAGCAAACUACCCUAUCUACAAAAUCCUCUUCUGCGUCAGAGGGCACGAUGGAACUCCUGAGAGCGACUGUUUUGCUUUCACUGAAAGUCAUUACAAUGCAGAACUCUUCAGAAUACAUGUCUUCCGGUGUGAAGUACAAGAAGCUGUAAGCCGGAUACUUUAUAGUUUUGCCACUGCCUUCCGUCGUUCUGCUAAGCAGACCCCACUUUCAGCGACUGCGGCACUCCAGACUCCUGACAGUGACAUCUUUACCUUUUCAGUGUCUUUAGAAAUAAAAGAAGAUGAUGGUAAAGGGUAUUUUAGUGCAGUUCCUAAAGAUAAGGACAGACAAUGCUUUAAACUACGCCAGGGAAUUGAUAAGAAGAUUGUCAUCUAUGUGCAACAAACAACUAAUAAAGAACUUGCCAUUGAAAGGUGUUUUGGUCUUCUCCUUAGCCCAGGAAAAGAUGUACGAAAUAGUGACAUGCACUUGUUAGAUUUGGAAUCUAUGGGCAAAAGUUCAGAUGGGAAGUCCUAUGUUAUUACUGGGAGCUGGAAUCCCAAAUCCCCACAUUUUCAAGUUGUAAAUGAAGAAACUCCUAAAGAUAAAGUGCUGUUUAUGACCACAGCUGUUGAUUUGGUAAUAACAGAAGUACAGGAGCCUGUACGAUUUCUCAUAGAGACAAAAGUCCGUGUUUGCUCACCUAAUGAAAGAUUGUUCUGGCCCUUCAGCAAACGUAGUACUACUGAAAAUUUCUUUUUGAAACUAAAACAGAUAAAGCAGAAGGAGAGAAAGAACAAUACUGACACUUUAUAUGAAGUUGUAUGCUUGGAAAGUGAAUCAGAAAGAGAAAGGAGGAAAACUACAGCCAGUCCCUCAAUUCGCCUGCCACAGUCUGGAUCUCAGAGUUCAAUGAUACCUUCUCCUCCUGAAGAUGAUGAAGAGGAAGAUAAUGAUGAGCCUCUCUUGAGUGGAUCUGGUGAUGUAUCCAAAGAAUGUGCAGAAAAAAUUCUUGAAACAUGGGGAGAACUGCUGUCAAAAUGGCAUCUCAAUUUGAGUGUGAGACCAAGGCAGUUGUCAUCCUUGGUAAGAAGCGGUGUUCCUGAAGCACUCAGAGGAGAAGUCUGGCAGCUGCUAGCUGGCUGUCACAACAAUGACCACCUGGUAGAGAAAUACAGAAUUCUCAUCACAAAGGAGUCUCCCCAAGACAGUGCUAUUACUCGGGAUAUUAACCGGACAUUCCCAGCCCAUGACUAUUUUAAGGACACAGGAGGAGAUGGACAAGAUUCCUUAUAUAAAAUAUGCAAGGCUUAUUCCGUGUAUGAUGAAGAGAUUGGCUAUUGCCAGGGCCAGUCAUUUCUCGCUGCUGUUCUGCUUCUCCAUAUGCCUGAAGAACAGGCAUUCAGUGUUCUGGUCAAGAUCAUGUUUGACUAUGGUCUCAGGGAACUUUUCAAGCAAAACUUUGAAGAUUUGCAUUGCAAAUUUUACCAGUUGGAGCGCCUCAUGCAGGAAUACAUUCCUGACCUGUACAACCACUUCCUGGAUAUAAGCCUUGAAGCACACAUGUAUGCCUCCCAGUGGUUUCUUACACUUUUCACUGCAAAAUUCCCUCUCUACAUGGUCUUCCAUAUCAUCGACCUGCUUUUAUGUGAGGGAAUAAGUGUUAUUUUUAAUGUCGCCCUUGGAUUAUUAAAGACUUCCAAGGAUGAUUUGCUGUUGACAGACUUUGAAGGUGCCUUGAAGUUCUUCAGGGUUCAGCUUCCUAAGAGAUACCGCUCAGAAGAAAAUGCAAAAAAACUAAUGGAAUUAGCUUGCAACAUGAAGAUUAGUCAAAAGAAGUUGAAAAAAUAUGAAAAAGAGUAUCACACCAUGAGAGAGCAGCAGGCCCAACAAGAAGACCCCAUCGAGCGAUUUGAGCGGGAGAAUAGACGUCUACAAGAGGCUAACAUGAGGCUGGAACAGGAAAAUGAUGACUUAGCCCACGAGCUCGUGACCAGCAAGAUUGCACUGCGAAAGGACCUGGAUAAUGCAGAGGAAAAGGCAGAUGCACUGAAUAAGGAGCUGCUUAUGACCAAACAGAAGUUGAUUGAUGCAGAGGAAGAGAAAAGACGGCUGGAAGAAGAGUCUGCUCAGUUAAAAGAAAUGUGUCGACGGGAACUCGACAAGGCAGAAUCUGAGAUUAGAAAAAACAGUUCUAUCAUCGGUGACUACAAGCAGAUUUGUUCUCAGUUGAGUGAAAGACUGGAGAAGCAGCAGACAGCUAAUAAAGUGGAAAUUGAGAAAAUUCGGCAAAAAGUGGAUGACUGUGAACGCUGCCGGGAAUUGUUCAACAAAGAGGGGCGUGUGAAGGGCACCAGCUCAGCUAAGGAGGUUUUAGACGAGGACACAGAUGAAGAGAAGGAGACGCUCAAGAACCAGCUGAGAGAGAUGGAACUAGAACUGGCACAGACCAAGUUGCAGUUGGUGGAAGCUGAGUGUAAGAUACAGGACUUGGAGCACCAUUUAGGCCUUGCCCUAAACGAGGUACAGGCAGCCAAGAAGACGUGGUUUAACCGAACACUGAGCUCCAUAAAGACAGCAACUGGGGUUCAAGGGAAAGAGACUUGCUGAGAGGAGCUCCUGCCUCCAGACACCUUCAGAAAACAUGACACCUUUUGUUGCCUUCUUUGGCCAGAUGUGUGAUUCUGUGACAUGUCCCAGGACCAGAACGUACCCAAGUCAGAUCCAUAGAAGCAUGUUGGUGAAGAAAUUGGGCCCAUAGAGAGGUUCCUGCUCAGGCUACCCGGCGAGGACAUCACCCCACAUCUGACGCCCCGUGACCCUGUGGGCAGCAGGUCCCUGUGGGCACGGACUGCCCCUUCCUCAUCCUCAGUACUCACAAAGCCUUUGGGAAGACGGGUCCGAGCAGCAGAUGAAAGUUUCCAGUCAUGAUUAAGCCAGAGGGUGGUGAGUAAUCUCUAUAGUCUAAAGCAGGGGUUUGCAGAACAUGACCCCAUUUCCUGUGUGUUAUGAGUAGAGUUUGUUGGACUGCACCAAACCUGUCUGCUCACGCAUCGUCUCUGGCUGUUGCUGUGCUGUAGUGGUGGAGCGGCGGAGCUUUGACACAGCAAGGAGUCCAGAGUCUUGCCAACUGACUACCUGGCCCUUUCCAGAAGUUCACCAACACCAGGUCUAAGACAGUGUUCUCAUAUAUUUGCACACUGUGACACAAGAGGUGACAUUUGUGUGGCCCACUAGGGUAAACAGAAAAGGCCAUUUAGAGGCACCUGACCUUAGGGCUCUGACCAGCCAAAAGAUUCAUGAGAUCAAUUGUGCAGAAACCCUCCCUGCCCACCUGUCCAGGAUGAACCAGAGGUGGCAGGACUGACACACAAAACUGAGGCCCAAAGCAAAUCCUUUAGGAAUCUCUCACAAUUUCUCAUUUUUCCCUCGAAGUACUCUGUAAACAGGUCUGCACCUGCCCUCUGGCCAAGGCCGUGUUCUGCAGUAUCCCAUGAGCUCCAGCCCUUGCCCAGGAUUAUGGCAGGUGGCAAAGAAAAAUGACCAGGUGCCAAGAUGAUGAUGCCUUGGAAUGAGGGAAGAACGCCCACGUGCCCCUAAGCGGAGACGCGGUUAGGCGUUAGUUGCCAAAGGAGCUCUGAAGCUGUGUGCGGCAGCAGGACACUCAGACAAACUCAGCUGAGCGGCUCACAGGCAACAAUUCAGGGCUCACCAAGCUCGGCCCAACCUAGAGGGAAGCCUGCCACCUCCAGGCUGGCCCCCUUCCCUGAAGCCAGGGAAAACUGGCAGUCAGAACAGGCUGUUUAGCAGAGAUGCUACGGUGCCCAGGGACACCUCCUGCACUUAGACCCCAAACCCUCCGUGCCCCUCCUUCCUCUCACCCAGUGAUCCAAAGUGUCCCCAGUCUUCCUUCAGUCUGUUUCAAGUCAUUUUUGAGACACCCCCAUCACCAUCCUCAGGCCAGACAGAUGGUAUACUCGCAUAGCAUUAGCUAAAUGAAAUCAUAAUUUCUCACUGAUAGUAAAAAACAAGCUUCAAACACAAAAGCUUCCUCUGUUCAUAUAGCCACACCUCAGUUUUCCAGCCUGUCUUUGCAGUUUAUUAAACAACUUUUCCACGUGGUCUGAAGAAAACAAUCCUAUUUCAGGCCAGGAUAUCUGCUCUAAAACGACCUCAGGUCAGAGGGCCUGGAUUCCAGCACAGGAAUCUAGGGCUGGCUUUUGAGCCUGUAGCACAACAGAUCCUGUGAUCCAGGGGGCGCUGGCUGGCGUGCAGGCCCCUAAGGCUCUGGCCGGGCUGCACCCCCUGCCUGCACAAGGUGCUCGCCUUCACUCCCUGCAAGCUGGUUUCACUGACUCUAGCCCUUAACUCUGAGCCUGUUUUUCAUCUGUAAAAGGAACCACCUCCACGAAGGUUGUCUGAGGAAGAAUGUCCACAUGCUUGGCACUGACAAAAUACCAACUGGAGCAUCAUUCUUCCCUUCCUUUCUUCCAUUACUGUUUCUUCAGUCUGCCCUCAGGCCAAAGUGACCUAACUGGAAGGCUGUUAAUUUUCCUGGGACGUUUAGCUGACACUUGAAUGCAGAGACCAUCCAAACCAUUAAAAAGUAUCAAGGCAGGAGAAAGGGAAACAAAGCUGAGAGCCCGGGAGCUUGGGCAGUGCUGAGAGAAACGCCCCCUCAGCAGCCAGGCAGACCUUGUUAGCUCCUCAGUGGUAAAAAGAGAUGACUUAGGACCUGCCCUCCAGCUAGGCUAUGCUGAUCAGACUUGCUUAACUAAGCUGCCUAGGCAGAUAGUGGCCAUCUCCACACUACCUACCAGCAGAGGCAGCACUGUACAAAAAUGGCAAAGUUCUGCUCAGACAGACCAAGGUGCUCCUUAGAAUAAGGAACAAGUAAUUAAGAUUUUAACAUCUGACUGGUCAAAGCCAAAAGGCAAGCAAAGAAACAAAAGGCCCUCCCUCAACGUUGGCUCAAUGAGGCAGUGAUUCUACCCAACAGCCGCAACUGAGGAAUGGGGUGACUUCUGCCAGGAUGUUACAUGACUUACCUCCUGGAUUUAAGAAAAGCCUCUUGACUAUAACACAAAUCUAUCUUAUUUGCCUUUAAAGAUAAUACUCAGUCCUUUUCCAGUUUUUAUAACCUGAGAGCAUCACAAAAAUCACAGUCUGUAUUUCCCACUGAUUUAGCUCACCUCCCACGAUUCUUCAGAGGCUCCCGAGGUACAUGCAGACAACGUGGACCAGGAAGGACAGCAGGCUGUACGCCCUUUAUUCAAUCCAACAGCGUCUAUUUCACUGUCUACCCAUUUUUCCUUUGGCUGAAAGCAGCUUCCCAACUGUGUCUAAUUAGAUAGAGAAAAUGGAUGGACAGAGAGAUGGAUGGCUGGAUGGACAUGUUUUUUCCAAAGAUUAACAGAAAAGGAAGGCCUUGUGGUGUGACAAGUGCAGAUUUCCACCCCCCACCCCACCCCCAACCCAAGUGUUGAAGCUAACUGGGAGAGAGAAACUGCAGGAAUGCUAGUUAGAGAAGCAGCUGAUUCAGUAGCCUUCUAAGCACGCAUCUCCUCUUGCAUUGCUGUGGUUUAUAGUAACUUGCUUUAUACCUGCCAACACUGGUGAGCUCUGAGUGUUGGAUUCCAGGGCCAGCUGUAAUCAAGCACACUCUUUUCUCUUACUAUUGCACUGGUGGGAAACUUGGAAUCAGCAGGUUGAUAGUCUAAGCUCAGCCCUCUUUGAAGUUCUAAGCACACUCACCUCCCAAAGCAAGUUAUCUACGAACCCCUGGCAGCAGAUGGGCCACAGAUUUAACUCUAGCACAGCACAAACGUGAGCAGUUUCAUUCAGCAGGGAUCCACAGUGCCUGCCCCACACUAGCUUUCUCACCACAUUGGCUUUGUGCUUCCUAACCCCCAGAUGGUAACAGUCCUCUCCCAAAGCCCAGGAGCACCCCAAACCCGUGAGCACUAAGGAACCAGCGCAGGUCCCCCUGGGCAGAACACACACUUGUUUCUCAGCUACCUGCCAGCACAGCCUGUCCUCCCUCCCAUACUUAUUAGCAUCACCUCAGCCAAUAUGGUGAGAACAGUUAUUUACUGAGUAUUUACUAAGCACUAUGUGCUAUUCAAAGCACUUUAUAUAGAUUAAUUCACCUAAUUCCCAAACCCCAUGGAAAUCUGCUGGAGAGAAAUACUUUGGCCUGGAUUCCCACAUGAUUUCUACUCUCUAUUUCUAGCUGUGCUGUAAAGCUUACAUAACCUAAUUUGCAUUAUGGUGCUAUUUUUAAAAACCUCCAAAGAUUGCUGCUUCCAGCAUCAAUGGAAGCUGUUAGCUCCUACCUAAAAUGAUAAUGUGGGAAAGGAUAUCUAUUCUUACAAAUAACUCAACUUGAAUUCUUGACUUAAAGUAGUCUUUCUGGAAGACACUUAAGAAAGGAAAAGACUCAUAUAAGAAGUAUUAGCUUGCGCUUUGUAAAUAACUGCUAGAAACAAACACAUCAAUAUUAAAACUCACCUCAGUGGUAAAAAGUU